rnacentral:lncRNA from 1 species
GUAGUUGGGUGCGUGGUGGGUAUCGCGACCAGGAGGGGGAAAGAAAGGGUGAAACCCUACUUGUUCAAUCAAGGUCAAAAUUCAGCAAAUUAAUGGUGGUUCUUGACACAAAUCGAAUGCAUGAGACUGGAUACAACUUAAUCUAAGUAUAUUGAUCAUAAGGAUUUGAAAGAAAUAUGAUAAUAGGAAUCACAUUAGCAAGGACUCGAAAACGGAAGGUUAACGGGUCAAGCAGAGGCGAGGAAACAAGCGUGAACACUAACGCUCGAGGUAAGUGA